rnacentral:tRNA from 1 species
ACCUGGCUGGCUCAGUCAGUAGAGCAUGCAACUCUUGAUCUUGGGGUCAUGGGUUCGAGCCCCAUGCCAGAGG